UGGUGGGUAGUUUGACUGGGGCGGUCUCCUCCCAAAGAGUAACGGAGGAGCACGAAGGUUAGCUAAUCCUGGUCGGACAUCAGGAGGUUAGUGCAAUGGCAUAAGCUAGCUUGACUGCGAGAGUGACGGCUCGAGCAGGUGCGAAAGCAGGUCAUAGUGAUCCGGUGGUUCUGAAUGGAAGGGCCAUCGCUCAACGGAUAAAAGGUACUCCGGGGAUAACAGGCUGAUACCGCCCAAGAGUUCAUAUCGACGGCGGUGUUUGGCACCUCGAUGUCGGCUCAUCACAUCCUGGGGCUGAAGUAGGUCCCAAGGGUAUGGCUGUUCGCCAUUUAAAGUGGUACGCGAGCUGGGUUUAGAACGUCGUGAGACAGUUCGGUCCCUAUCUGCCGUGGGCGCUGGAGAAUUGAGGGGGGCUGCUCCUAGUACGAGAGGACCGGAGUGGACGCAUCACUGGUGUUCGGGUUGUCAUGCCAAUGGCACUGCCCGGUAGCUAAAUGCGGAAAAGAUAAGUGCUGAAAGCAUCUAAGCACGAAACUUGCCC
rnacentral:rRNA from 1 species